rnacentral:tRNA from 1 species
UCCCUGGUAGUCCAUUGGCUAAGACUCUGCGCUCCCAAUGCAGGACGUUCCAGGUUCAAUCCCUGGUCAGGGAA